GUAAAAUUCAAAAAACUAAUCAAUAUUAAAAUAUAUUUUUUUCGACUUGUUCCAAAAUUUAAAUUUAUAAAAUUAUAUAUAUUUAAAAUUUUAAUUUCUAAAAUUAUUCAUUCAUUUUACGAAAAAGAGUUUUAUAAGCCAUGCACGGACUAAGAAGACCAAGUUACGAUUUCCUAAGGAUCCAUCCUGAUCCUUACCACAAACGUCACUCUAUGCAGACAAUCAGGGAACUGUCCAGUAACAAUUUGAAACAAGAUUAUCUUGACGCCAGUGCCAUAGAUCAUCAAAAUUAUCAAUCUAGAAACAGACGCUCGAAGGGUUCUGUAGUAGCCUAUCUGACAUCCCGGUUCUCUAAAGUGCCGGAUUCUUAUUAUUUUAGCCACAAA